GGAGGAGGAGAGGAAGCCCAAGCAAGAAGCACUCACCAUCAUUCGUGAAUGGAUAAGCGGUGGAGAAUCAAGUUCUUAUAGCUCAAGUGAUGAAUCAAGCAAGAACUUCACUACUCACUUCAUGCAAGGUCCCUCAUCAUCAUCAUCAUCAUCAUCAUCAUCACAUUUUUGCCUUAUGGCCCCGAGGUAUGGAAAGCAAUGUAAGUGAUGAUGAAUCUGAUUCUCGUUCUAUUGAUGAUCUUCUCAAGCUAAUCCAUGAGCAAAAAGGAAUAAUUAAGAAACAAUCUAAGCAAAUAAAAGAACUCAAUGCUCUCAAUAAUCUUAAUGCUACCUUUGCUACAAAUUCUGAAAAUUUAUUAUGCAAAUUCAACUUGCUUAGCA
rnacentral:lncRNA from 1 species